AACGAACGCUGGCGGCGUGGAUAAGACAUGCAAGUCGAACGCUGAUUCGAGGGUAGCAAUAUUCUCGAGUCAGAGUGGCGCAAGGGUGCGUAACACGUGGGCAAUCUACCGCGAAGACCGGAAUAACCUGCUGAAAGGCGGGCUAAUGCCGGAUGUGACUGUCUGGAGGAUUCUUCGGACACUCAAAGUUGGGGACCGUAAGGCCUGACACUUCGCGAUGAGCCCGCGGCCUAUCAGCUAGUUGGCGGGGUAACGGCCCACCAAGGCUAAGACGGGUAGCUGGUCUGAGAGGACGACCAGCCACACUGGAACUGAGACACGGUCCAGACACCUACGGGUGGCAGCAGUCGAGAAUUUUUCACAAUGGGCGAAAGCCUGAUGGAGCGACGCCGCGUGGGGGAUGAAGGGCUUCGGCUGUAAACCCCUGUCAUUCGAGAACAAACCCUGCGAUUUAAUAGAUCGCGGCUGAUAGUAUCGGAAGAGGAAGGGACGGCGU
rnacentral:rRNA from 1 species